rnacentral:lncRNA from 1 species
GCCCCCUCGCGCGCCGCCCGGCGCCCCGCGCACGCGCGCCGCCCCCUGCUCCUUCAGCGAGGGUCUGCGGGGAGCGCGCGUCCAACGGUAAUGAUGAAACUCCUGCUCUGGUCCGGGCUACCGGUGAACAGCGCCCAGCGGGCCGGGCCCCCAACCUCGCUCCUGAGCCUGAACAUCCCCCCAACCCCACCGUGAGAAUUCAGCGAAGAGUAAAAGCUGGAAAAAGUUGCGUGUCUUAGGCUAAGCAGAACAAAGUGGGGUGACGGCUCCCCGGCUAGGAACAGAGAUGCCCUUAGGGAGCCCUCUGAUGGAAGAGCUCUCCGCUUAAGAAGGUCACCACUCCCUUACACUCAGGAGAUGUUGCUGAGAUGGGUGCAUUAAAGUUUAGGCUUUCCAGAGUUUAUAUUGCUAACAACUUGAAAGGAAAAAAGCUAACUAGAGAACUGACUGGUCUUAUUUGUUUUAGAUUCUGGGCUUUACUAAGACUUCCUACUCUCAGAAUCUCUGGACUAUAAACGCUGGGUGGGGUGGGAGCUGGGAAUGUUAUUCUGGAAAAUUAAUCACAAAUGAAAAGAAAAUCAACUCUAAGACUCCAGUUAGAAGAUUUUUGAAAAUGGCAGAACAUGACUGGCCUUCAUUCAAGUCAGAAUAUUUAAAGCAAUCCUUGCUAAGAAGAACUUGAUUUUGUAUAAGCAGUCCCUUAAAUACAGUUGCUUCUCAAGAAAACCACACACAAUUGAUGUUUGAAUGGCUUUAUUUACAAACAUCUCACUCCGUAAGCCUCUGCAGGUAUUUCUAGCCUCCCAGGGGCCACUGUCCCGUUUCACCUGUAAUUUG